CAGUAGCCACGGUAAUACAGAGGGUGCGAGCGUUAAUCGGAUUUACUGGGCGUAAAGCGUGCGUAGGCGGCUUCUUAAGUCGGAUGUGAAAUCCCUGAGCUUAACUUAGGAAUUGCAUUCGAUACUGGGAAGCUAGAGUAUGGGAGAGGAUGGUAGAAUUCCAGGUGUAGCGGUGAAAUGCGUAGAGAUCUGGAGGAAUACCGAUGGCGAAGGCAGCCAUCUGGCCUAAUACUGAGGCUGAGGUACGAAAGCAUGGGGAGCAAACAGGAUUAGAGACCCCGGUAGUCCCUGUCUCUUAUAC
rnacentral:rRNA from 1 species